rnacentral:lncRNA from 1 species
GGGUCAGGGUUGGGGAGUUUUGUUCAAAUAAAGGAAUAUUUAAUCAUAGAGAAAAGGACAUAAAGUUUAAUAUUUAAUACUGUCCUUUCUAAUUGGUGCUAUUUUCUCACAAACCAAGCUCCUACAUGUAAAUUUCUCACUAAUUUUUAUACUUCAAUCUUUAUCAGAAUUAAGGCAAAGAAUUUAUACUACCAUUUAAUCAUAUCCUAUUACAAGGGAGCUUUUUAUUAGCCCUCCCUAGGGGCAAGUGAGAAGGAACUGCAUUGUACCUGACACACCAAUCACCUCUAGAACAAUGACUGUCUCCUCACUUUGAAAAUUUCACUAUUCCAUCCAAGCUCUACAAGGUUUUCUAUCAGAUAUAAAUUUGCCCCAAAGCUAAAAGCAUCUCCAUCAGGCAAUCUCAGGACUGAUAACAAGAUCCACAGGAUCAAAAUCCUGUUUUGGUCAAAGAUGGUACGGCAGGAGUCAAAGGGGUCAGCUGAUGGAUGUCCCACUGCUCACAGACCCUGAUGCAGGGAGAGAGAACAGCAAACAGCAGGUGCCUAUACAUGUCACGGACGGCCCCUCUGGGGCUCUCUCCCUGGAACAUGCUGGCAGUGACAGAUAUCAAGAUAGAAGAGUCCCAGUUCUCAGGGAAAUCACAGCUCCAUCGGGCAAAAAAAAAUACUAUCCAAUGAUCUGUACAGGAAUAACUGAAAGAAGAUGAAAUUCAAUGAUAUGUGCGAAGUUACAUUUACAUUCAAGAUACAUAUUUCUUACAUACAAAGUCAGGAAGGACCUGGGUGGAAAAGAAGGAAAUGUAGAGACAGAAAACACUGGGCAUUCUGGAGAGUUCCAUGAGCCAGAGCUCCGACAGGAACUAAUGGGAGCAGUCCGACCUGGGAUCCUGUGACCCACCUCGGUGCAAAGUGUGGGAGCUUCUGGGAUACAGUGCAGGACAGUGUGGGUGUUUACACAAAGAGCAUGAGGCCAGGACCUGCUCACUAUCUUCACACGCUUCAAAGGCUCAGCAAAAGAGCUCUCACGGCUCCAAACCCUUGGGUAUCACUGGCCAGAACUAGAAUCAAGAGAAGUUGUGGAGAAAGAGAUUCCAACUUCCAAUGAGUGUUGAGUUGGAGGGACAAGGGGACUGAAAAGAAAAGGUUAUGCUUCUGUUUAGGGGUGUCUUCCCUUGCAAGCUGGAAGGCAUCUCUCUGGUCUGCGGCGGGAAUUCUGAGUACUGAGCUCCAGACCUUGGGUCCACAGAAAGGAUGAGGCUGCCCCACGUCAUGGGGGUGCUCCCUGCUUGGGGAUCAAGAAACCUGCUCCACAUACUGCACUUUACCAACUCUGAGUCCAGCAUUUCUAUUCACUGUCUCCAUUGCCCCACGCCACAAGAAACCUCUCAAGGCCCCUUUCCGUGAAAAUUCAGCUCACGUGUUAAUCUUUAAACUGCAUGACCAUCAUGCACCCUUGAAAACCAUUAAAAAUACAACCGAAAAGAGAAAACCAGAUUUUUUUAAAACGAAGCCAAAACUGGAUAACUUUCCCUAAAAGGCUGUAAUUAUAAAAAUGCACACACAGUCCAGAGUUCAAGAACCAAAAGACAUUUCUGGCAAAACUAGACACCCCUGAUAUAUAUCAUGAAUAAGGUAAAUCCCCAAAAAGAAUUUCCCCUUCCAUGUUCUUCUCCUGUGCUGUGGAGUGUCCCAAAUGUGCUCUGUGACGCUGGCUGUCAGUUCCCUCUGCUUCCCCUCACCGUGAGCACCACGCUAUGCCUGUGUCCCCACCUGGCACACACCUGCCUCCAGCGAUCACACCUGCCAGCCAGUCCCCGCCAGGAAGGAUGUUCAGCUCCAGGGCCAGGUGCUGGUGAAGUAAAGUCACGGGGGGGAGGGAUCUGCCUUGCUAGGCCCGCUUCCACUCCCCAGCCCCAGCAGUUCCACUGCUCCCUUCAACCCCAUCUGCUCUACACUCAGAAUCUUCUCCUCUCUGCACCACCUUACCCAGGCUGGAAACUCCAGGUAUGUAUCCUUUACCCAUAAACUUUGGUUGAACCUCUUCACACACAUCCCACAAUCAAUAGGUUAGCAGGAAGAAAACACUAAAAUUUGAGGAAGGCAACACAGUACCAGAAAAAGAACACAGUAAAGCUUCUGGAGUCAGACUGAGCCAGUUCUAGAUCCCAACAUGUCCACACUUCCUUGCGUCACGGCCUUUGGCAAAUUCAGCAUGUUAAUGUCUCUGAGCCUUGCGUUAUACGACUUCUUACCAAUAAAAUGAAGAGAAGGACAGUAUCCAUACAGGAGAGGAAGAUGGGAGGCACGAAUGACAUAAUGUACAUAAAAGGCUCAUCAGGGGCUCCACACAGAUGUGAAACACAGCCGCAGAACCUGGUCCCUCACCCUACACAGAGCACGUGCUCGGGAAACAGCAGUGACCAUGCCAAUAUGCCUGGUCCCGCAGAGCCAGAACACAACAGCCUCUCUUCCCACUCCCUGUUCUUGCCCUGUGCCCACCUACUACGCCUGCUAUCUAUCCACUCAGACUCACGGCUAAAAUCCUCUAACUUGUCUUUACUCCCAACAUUGGUCUAAAGCAAAGUAAGGAAGAGGGAGCCGAAGUGUUUCUAGUGUGCUGAAAUGGCCCUCAAGAGGGGAUUUCUGGCAACUAUUGAUCUGUGCCCCAUGGGAGCGGUCCUAUGCUCCAUCUCAAGGACCACCUGGCCCAGAAACUCUCCACGCCUGAUCACAGGCCUGCCCACAGCCCUUCACAAGUUCAUCUGAGAUGCUCAGGCUGGACUGAUCACAGGAUGAAUGUGGUGUGCUAAGGCCAGUACCAGGAUCCCUGGGAGCUAAGGACAGUAAACGGGGACGGCUAAUGAGCUCCCAGGCUCGCACGACACAUCUCAUUGUCCCGCAGGGUCCAUAAAGCCUGGAGUGGCGCUCCACACCUUCAGUUUCAACAAAUGCCUAAACCAACCUUUAGGGAAGCACUAACACAAUCUCACCUGGGCCAGUGUCUGAGAGGCUGUCUCCUUUCCAGUCCUCUCACACUUUUCAAGGCAUCUAAGAAUAAACUGGUAUCUACAGAAAUAUCAACAUUCAUUCUAUGCCUUUAUUACUCAGUAAAAGGCUGUAAUGUUAGCUGCACAUCCUACAAACAGAAAGAGACUGAGACAUGAUAGAAGAAUCUAACUAAAAUAUGCAUUGUAAGGUUCCACUAUCAAUUUUUUUCCAUAAUUCAUAUAAUGGAACCAAGGAAGAUUCUAAAAGAGAGUGCAUAUCAAUGCUAUUUUCUUGCAUUUUUUUUACACCUUAGUUUUUUUUUCUGAAUAUUUCACUGGACAAAAGUAUUUAUUUUAGCAUAGGCAGAAAGAUUAGCCAACUCAAUAGAUUUUAGAAGAAAAUGAAAACUAUCUGGAUUCUUACAUUUAAAGAUCAGACAGGUCCAACAUGUCCUACCUCUGAGAUUUUUCUUUAAGCUAAAAAUGAGAUUCUUAACAAAGUCCAAUUUAGGGAUUUUUUUGUUUUUUUAAAGCAAACAAGCCUUAUUUAGGUAAAAGUACUAACGGAUUUCAUGUAACUGAAUACUCUUAGCACAGUUAAAGAAAACAGAGUGGCAAACUCAAGUUAUCUUCUUUGCCCCAUUCCUUUCAAAAUAAUCUUUUUUAAUCCAAUGAGAAUAGAAAGCUCCAGGCAGUAUGUAAUCAUCAGUUUGGAAAUUCAGGCCACACAGACUGAAAAUAUCAGCAUGUAACUAGCUUUUUAUCUAGGUUAUUUCAAGAGGCUGCACCAGAAAACCAGGGACUAUACAGGCUUGACUACAACUAUAUUACAGUUAAUGGUUAUUUUAACAUUAAUAUACCUCCCAAAAUCAAGUGCAAAAUUCCAGAUUUUAAGAAGAUAUGUUUUAACACAUAUUACUACUUCUGAUUUACAUAAGUGCUUAUAUUAGAGCACAGAAAAAGUAGAAAGAAUAUAUUUUUAUUUUAAGGCGGUUAAAAAGGCAUUUAACCUAACAUUACAGAACUUAAAAUUAAGAUCCAGUACAGAGCAAGUGCUCUAACGUUCAGUGAAGCAGUUGUGGGGGGUUCUACUCAGGGAAUCUAGCUGCUGAAGAGGAUUUUCCCCUCAUCCUGGGACACCAGAGUCACUUGGGGGGGGGGUGGGGAUCUCGAGGGCCGCUGGCCAGGAGGGGGCUCUCUGCCUCUGACAAGAAUAACUUCACUCAUUCAAAACAAGAAUGCAAUCAAAAAGCCUUUUUCACCACCCUUCUGUGAUUAGGGAGAGAGAGGGUAGCACAAAGACCCCCUUCUGAGUUCAUGUAAAGAAGGGUAGGAUGCAUGCCAGGUCCUGAGUGUUGACAAAUCCUGAUUCACUGCUCAAGUCACACUUAGCUCACAUAUAAAAUGGGCAAUUCAACCACUCGAGCUGGGGGCUGGGGCGUGGCAGGGGGCGGAGGGAGGAUCUCAGAAUGUACUCUACGUCUGUUUAAAAACAGACCACUAUUGACAGGAGUUCUGACUCAGCAUCAUCUCUUCUGACUAUUCUGCUUGGCCAAUUGUCAAUGCCUUUAUGUGUCCAAUACUGAAUCAAAUAUCAUUUUAUCUAAGUUAGGAAUGAGCCACGAAACACUUAUCAUUGGGAGUCAUGACUAUCUUAACAAGACUCUUAGCCUCUGUAUACAGAAAUUACAAAACUGUGGUCACUAAGUGAGCAUAUAUUCUGGUUCUACAGGGAUAGUUCCAGUUGACACCUAUUGUUCCAAAAUAAUUAUCAGUAACACCCUUAUUCAGUCUCAGAAGCAUCUCUAUUUAGACCAUAAGGUCAACCUACCAAAUAAAAAAUGUCGAGCUAAGAAAGCAUCAACAUUUGAUGACAACACCUGUCCCCUUUUAAACAUCAAGCAGGACCAUGGGAUUUUAACCACACCACAGAGCACAAGGUGAUCACCUUAGGGUUUCUAAAGUUGAAUCUUAGCAAUAACAUUAGUCAAUAUGAAUAUUAUUCAUUUUCUCUAUACUUUUAAGUGGCAGCAUUGUUGUGCCGAAGUAUCACCUGUAAUGACCUACCUCCCUUUCGAUCUCUGGCAGCACAAGAAAGCCUUCGCUGUGUGGUCUUAGCACCACCACACAUACAACUCACUGCUCCUGUUGGCAAAUAUAGAGCAAUAAAGGACAGAUUAAAUCUCUGCCCUAAAAGCAGCAGUUUCAGGGAACAAUGGUUUAGAAAAAGUAGGGAAAUGAAGAAUUCCUUCAUGUACUAGGAAAAUCAAAGGGUAGGAGUGUUUGUAAAAAAUGAAAAUAAAAACAAGCCACACACAGUAAGAGGCAAUCUACAAUAUUACAUGUAUAUUAAAUACUAUAAACAGAAUGGAAAAAAGAAGACAACAUUGAUAAAAUCCUCACAGUGGGUUAGAAACAGAGCCAAGCCAUGGUACAGCCAGGGCUGAUUUGAGUUUUCACUUUUAAUCUGCAAUAAUGGGCCUGUGGAAACUCCAGGGAAAGACUUACAUUUACAUACAGAUGCAAAGCAGCUCCUCCUUCAUGCCGCCAAAAUACUCAAGAGGUAAUAAAGUGCAAUCAAGAGGAAGAAAAACUCCUACGUGCCCAACCCCAGUGACUUGAGUCAUAGGAGGGCUCUCAGUGGAGACAGGAGCAAUUCUGUUCUCCAGGGAGUGGCGGGUCCCAGCCAAGAGAGGGAAGCCAGUUAGUCCCGCAAUAUUCACCUUCUUUCUCUUCUUUUUUCCUAUCUCUUCCUCUCCUGCUCCAUUAGCUGUAUUCCACUUUUUAAUUUUCCUUUUGCUAGUAAACCAGAGGUAGUAGCAUGCUGAAAAAUGUCAGAAUCCUAGGAUGUUCAAAUCUCCAGGUUCUAGGCAGCAGCUCGUAAGGAAGGUGCAAUGCUAGUGUUUGCAUAUUUCAGGGCAGUCAAAUACCAAGAAUUAACAUGAAAUUCACACAAAUACCUGAAAUGCAUGGCAUUAAAAAGAUCUAUGUUUUUCAUAAUAAAAAUGUUUUUAUUCCAGUUACUAACAAAAAAAUUAAAAUGUAGUGACCACACUUUCCAUGGUAAGUACCGAGUAAUGUACAAAAUUAAGUCAGUAUAUCAUACAUAUAAAACUGAUAUAACAUUGUACGUCUACUUCAAUUAAAAAAUGACAUUUACCAAAAAAUUAAAAUGUGACCUUUAAACUUUGAGACCUUUGAACUUGUGAAGUAUAAGCCACUGAAAACAAAAUGUAAACAUGGCAAUUUAUUGAUAAAAGUUGUUUCAUCAUGCAAAUGAGUUCCAGAAUAAAUUAUCUGCCUCACAGAUCUCUCCAAUCUCAGGGCACAGUCAUGGUACAGAAAGUGGUACACAGAAACAAAGCACCCUGAAUGGGCUGGUUGUGCCUAUCUAAAAAUACUCUUAUGAAAACUAAACUUUUUUAAAAAGAUUUUAUUUUUAAAUAAUCUCUGCACUCAACGUGGGGCUCAGACUCACAACCCUGAAAUCAAAA